rnacentral:piRNA from 1 species
UGGCCAUACUUUGACUACAACAUUCAAAAG